rnacentral:tRNA from 1 species
CCGUUGUAGCUCAGUUGGUAGAGCACCCCGAUGGUCAUCGGGGAGGUCUCGGGUUCGAAUCCCGACAAUGGAA